rnacentral:rRNA from 1 species
UACAGAGGGUGCGAGCGUUGUCCGGAAUCACUGGGCGUAAAGGGCGCGUAGGCGGUCCGGUAAGCGUGCGGUGAAAGCCCGGGGCUCAACCCCGGGUCGGCCGUGCGGACUGCGGGACUGGAGCCGAUCAGAGGCAGGCGGAAUUCCGGGUGUAGCGGUGGAAUGCGUAGAGAUCCGGAAGAACACCGGUGGCGAAGGCGGCCUGCUGGGGUCUUGGCUGACGCUGAGGCGCGACAGCGUGGGGAGCAAACAGGAUUGA